rnacentral:rRNA from 2 species
GGAUCCAGACUUUGAUUCUGGCUCAGGAUGAACGCUAGCUACAGGCUUAACACAUGCAAGUCGAGGGGAAACGAUAUUGGAAGCUUGCUUCCGAUAGGCGUCGACCGGCGCACGGGUGAGUAACGCGUAUCCAACCUGCCCAUCACUUGGGGAUAACCUUGCGAAAGUAAGACUAAUACCCAAUGACGUCCAUAGAAGACAUCUGAAAUGGAUUAAAGAUUUAUCGGUGAUGGAUGGGGAUGCGUCUGAUUAGCUUGUUGGCGGGGUAACGGCCCACCAAGGCGACGAUCAGUAGGGGUUCUGAGAGGAAGGUCCCCCACAUUGGAACUGAGACACGGUCCAAACUCCUACGGGAGGCAGCAGUGAGGAAUAUUGGUCAAUGGGCGAGAGCCUGAACCAGCCAAGUAGCGUGCAGGAAGACGGCCCUAUGGGUUGUAAACUGCUUUUAUAAGGGAAUAAAGUGAGAGUCGUGACUCUUUUUGCAUGUACCUUAUGAAUAAGGACCGGCUAAUUCCGUGCCAGCAGCCGCGGUAAUACGGAAGGUCCGAGCGUUAUCCGGAUUUAUUGGGUUUAAAGGGAGCGUAGGCCGGAGAUUAAGCGUGUUGUGAAAUGUAGAUGCUCAACAUCUGAACUGCAGCGCGAACUGGUUUCCUUGAGUACGCACAAAGUGGGCGGAAUUCGUGGUGUAGCGGUGAAAUGCUUAGAUAUCACGAAGGACUCCGAUUGCGAAGGCAGCUCACUGGAGCGCAACUGACGCUGAAGCUCGAAAGUGCGGGUAUCGAACAGGAUUAGAUACCCUGGUAGUCCGCACGGUAAACGAUGGAUGCCCGCUGUUGGUCUGAAUAGGUCAGCGGCCAAGCGAAAGCAUUAAGCAUCCCACCUGGGGAGUACGCCGGCAACGGUGCAACUCAAAUGAAUUGACGG